CCAGUGAGAUGCCAGCCUGCGUGUGAAGAUCCUACAGCAGAAGUGCAUAGCCAGUGACACAAGACGUGCGAAUGAAAACUAGAUGUGACCAUCCAGAAAAAGCAUAGACAAAAAAAUGCAGUCUUAGUACUGGGAUGUUUGAGAUGGGGUCUAUCUACAUGUCUCUAGCUGUCCCUAUCAGGACAGCAUCUGGUGUGGCCUGCAGAGUUGAUUCCUGUACUUUUUUUUUUUUGUGGGCUGUAUGUAAAUGGAUUGUUUUGACAAUCCAUUCGACAGUGUUCUCUUCUGUGAAGGUCAUAGGUGAGCUGAUUGACAGACACAGCUGUACAGACUGAAUGCAAUCCUGACUAUAAAGCUGCAGUUCAUCAUUAUGAGCUAUUUCCUUAUUCUGGCAGUGAUUGAAAUAAAAUGGGGAGUAUUGAAAUAAAAAACAUUCAAUU
rnacentral:lncRNA from 1 species